rnacentral:rRNA from 1 species
UUGGACCUGAUAUCAAACAAGACUACCCGCUGAACUUAAGCAUAUCAAUAGG